AUUCUUCGGAUGAUUUCCUAUUUGACUGAGCGGCGGACGGGUGAGUAACGCGUGGGUAACCUGCCUCAUACAGGGGGAUAACAGUUAGAAAUGACUGCUAAUACCGCAUAAGACCACAGCACCGCAUGGUGCAGGGGUAAAAACUCCGGUGGUAUGAGAUGGACCCGCGUCUGAUUAGUUAGUUGGUGGGGUAACGGCCUACCAAGGCGACGAUCAGUAGCCGACCUGAGAGGGUGACCGGCCACAUUGGGACUGAGACACGGCCCAAACUCCUACGGGAGGCAGCAGUGGGGAAUAUUGCACAAUGGGGGAAACCCUGAUGCAGCGACGCCGCGUGAGCGAAGAAGUAUUUCGGUAUGUAAAGCUCUAUCAGCAGGGAAGAAAAUGACGGUACCUGACUAAGAAGCCCCGGCCAACUACGUGCCAGCAGCCGCGGUAAUACGUAGGGGGCAAGCGUUAUCCGGAUUUACUGGGUGUAAAGGGAGCGUAGACGGAGCAGCAAGUCUGAUGUGAAAACCCGGGGCUCAACCCCGGGACUGCAUUGGAGACUGUUGAUCCGGAGUGCCGGAGAGGUAAGCGGAAUUCCUAGUGUAGCGGUGAAAUGCGUAGAUAUUAGGAGGAACACCAGUGGCGAA
rnacentral:rRNA from 1 species